UACGAAACAAGCUGGCUGGCAGUCGCGC
rnacentral:sRNA from 1 species